rnacentral:rRNA from 1 species
GUCUAUGGCCAUGCCACCCUGAACAAGCCCGAUCCCAUCUGAUCUCGGAAGGUAAGCAGGGUCAGGCCUGGUUAGUACUUGGAUGGGAGACCACCUAGGAAGACCAGGUGCUAUAGGUG